AUGGAGUCCAGACGGGAAGUGAAGAACUGUCUGGAUAAACGUGGUACCGGUGAAGCAGUCCAGAUCCUCCGUCAGCUCAGGCAGCAGACUCUUCUUCAGCAGCUGCACACACAUCUUCUUCAUCUUCCUGAACAGAGCGGGCAGACGGGCCUGCAGAUCUUUGUUCUUUCCAGGCGGGGCGUUCCUCAGGGCGCGGUGGACGCCAUGAAGAGGAGUUUCCUCCAGGUGAGCGUCCACCUCAUCCGGGUUCAAGCUGCUUCCCUGCUCCACCAGAGCGGGAACGCUGGGACUGCUCAGAGCUUCCUCGAACUUUUUGACAAACUUGAAGAGCGUGCUGAGAGAGGAGAAAGGAGGAGAAAGGAGGAGAAAGGAGGAGAAAGGAGGAGAAAGGAGGAGAAAGGAGGAGAAAGGAGGCGUUAGGGAGUUUCAUCUUCAGCGCUGAGGUUCAGGAGGAUGAGUCCGUCUCACCGGUGAGUCUUCUCCACAGACUGCUUGAUGGACCAGAAGCUGACGUCGUUCCACCUGGAGAUCUUCACAAAGUCCUGAAAAGAGGGAGUUUGUCAUGACAGCGGAGCUCAGUGAAGGAGGCAGCGUUCAUUCACGGGUGAUGCGUGUACCCUGAGCUCCUUCUGGAUGGGCUGUCUGAGCUGAGAGAUUCUGGCCUGGAUGCUGUCCGAGAACUGGCUGUAGUAUCUGUGGAGGUUCCACAGGAGAGCCGACAGACACUCUGCAGACACAGACACACUGGAUCAGCUCUGAUCCGGCAGCAGGUGCUGGACCUGAGAAGGAAAAACCUCUUCCACUGCCUCCAAAUCCAAGUCAAUAUCUAAAAUCAUCAAUAACUGUUGUCAGGUAGAUCGGUCAAAGCUGCAGUAAAGGUGUGAGGAAAAUGUGAAGUUACAGAAUGAAGAACAAAUCUUUGUUGUGUGAAACUUUAAAGUGGCCAAACCACGAAAAUUCUACUUUUUUUAAUUUAACUGUUCAUUCCUCACUAUGAAAAACCUCAAAGUGGUAUU
rnacentral:lncRNA from 1 species